rnacentral:misc_RNA from 1 species
AAAAAAAAAAAUAGUGAAGCAACCCAUAAAUCUUUCCCUUUAAAUUUAUUCGCACAGGAAUCACAAAAUCAAAACAUCCACAGGAAGAUUAUGAGCUCAGUAAUCCUCCAAUAAAUCAGAAUGAUCGUACUCAAAAAGUUAAAAUGCCAAUAAAUCAAUUUCAGACUCACAUAUCAUAUCCUACAAUGGCUAAAACAGAUCUGCGGCACCGACAUUGCAAUCAAUCAAAACCCAAAAACUAAAAAUCACAUUUUAACACGAUAAAUUAAUCAAGCAAUCACAUGAUGGAGACAUUUCCUCACUAGAAAAGGCACCACCAUGCCGCUUACACGCUUUAUUCCUAACCAUUUCCAGCAUCCUCUUGCUGAUCUCCUUGGAAUAAACUUGAAGGAUCUCGAUUCCACGGCAAGGAUCAGCCUCAACGCCAGCCGAUGUAGCGGCGGCGGCGGCGGCGGCG